GGCGAGGGGAGUGAAAAAGAACCUGAAACCGUGUACGUACAAGCAGUAGGAGCCCCACCACCAAAGCGUUUCGCUUUGCGUGGUGCGCAAAAUGCGUAACAACAGCGCGAUGGACGGUUAACGGAGCGUAAGCGACGUUCAACAUCAAAAAUCAGGCAGUGGAGCGUUUUGGGGUGGGGUGACUGCGUACCUUUUGUAUAAUGGGUCAGCGACUUAUAUUCUGUAGCAAGG
rnacentral:rRNA from 1 species